rnacentral:rRNA from 1 species
GGGAAGAACAAGUGCAAGAGUAACUGCUUGCACCUUGACGGUACCUAACCAGAAAGCCACGGCUAACUACGUGCCAGCAGCCGCGGUAAUACGUAGGUGGCAAGCGUUGUCCGGAAUUAUUGGGCGUAAAGGGCUCGCAGGCGGUUUCUUAAGUCUGAUGUGAAAGCCCCCGGCUCAACCGGGGAGGGUCAUUGGAAACUGGGAAACUUGAGUGCAGAAGAGGAGAGUGGAAUUCCACGUGUAGCGGUGAAAUGCGUAGAGAUGUGGAGGAACACCAGUGGCGAAGGCGACUCUCUGGUCUGUAACUGACGCUGAGGAGCGAAAGCGUGGGGAGCGAACAGGAUUAGAUACCCUGGUAGUCCACGGCGUAAACGAUGAGUGCUAAGUGUUAGGGGGUUUCCGCCCCUUAGUGCUGCAGCUAACGCAUUAAGCACUCCGCCUGGGGAGUACGGUCGCAAGACUGAAACUCAAAGGAAUUGACGGGGGCCCGCACAAGCGGUGGAGCAUGUGGUUUAAUUCGAAGCAACGCGAAGAACCUUACCAGGUCUUGACAUCCUCUGACAACCCUAGAGAUAGGGCUUUCCCUUUCGGGGACAGAGUGACAGGUGGUGCAUGGUUUGUCGUCAGCU